rnacentral:rRNA from 1 species
AUUGAACGCUGGCGGUAUGCUUAACACAUGCAAGUCGAACGGUAACGAAGCUAGCUUGCUAGCAGGCGACGAGUGGCGGACGGGUGAGUAACGCGUGGGAAUCUACCUAGUAGUGGGGGAUAGCCAGAAGAAAUUCUGAUUAAUACCGCAUACGCCCUACGGGGGAAGGAGGCCCUCUUCUUGAAAGGUCUCACUAUUAGAUGAGCCCGCGUUAGAUUAGCUAGAUGGUGAGGUAAGAGCUCACCAUGGCAACGAUCUAUAACUGGUCUGAGAGGAUGACCAGUCACAUUGGGACUGAGACACGGCCCAG